UGGGGAAUAUUGGACAAUGGGCGAAAGCCUGAUCCAGCCAUGCCGCGUGUGUGAAGAAGGUCUUCGGAUUGUAAAGCACUUUAAGUUGGGAGGAAGGGCAGUAAGCGAAUACCUUGCUGUUUUGACGUUACCGACAGAAUAAGCACCGGCUAACUCUGUGCCAGCAGCCGCGGUAAUACAGAGGGUGCAAGCGUUAAUCGGAAUUACUGGGCGUAAAGCGCGCGUAGGUGGUUCGUUAAGUUGAAUGUGAAAGCCCCGGGCUCAACCUGGGAACUGCAUCCAAAACUGGCGAGCUAGAGUAGGGCAGAGGGUGGUGGAAUUUCCGGAGUAGCGGUGAAAUGCGUAGAUAUAGGAAGGAACACCAGUGGCGAAGGCGACCACCUGGGCUCAUACUGACACUGAGGUGCGAAAGCGUGGGGAGCAAACAGG
rnacentral:rRNA from 1 species